AGCUUUGCGCAGUGGCAGUAUCUAGCCAAUGAGGUUUAUCCGAGGCGCGAUUAUUGCUAAUUAAAAAAAUAAUGAAAAAGCCAACAAUGCUGUCCAGCUGGAUUCCCAACAGGUAAUUUCUAAGUGGUGUGAGGCUGACCUU